GGCUGCCCGCAGGCCCCCGGCCGGCGGACACUCGCAGAGGGAGACCGGGCUCAAGGCCCAGGGCUGGGACUCAACCAUUCUGACAGGUUGGCGACCUCCUGCAGCCACAGCGCGUCCUGCGAGAACAAAGGGGGUCCAGGGCGGAGUCACACUUUGUCACCCAAGCUGGAGUGCAGUGGCUCGAUGCUGGCUCACUACAACCUCCACCUCCCAGUUAUCAGCGAUUCUCCUGCCUCAGCCAUCCGAGUAGCUGGGACUGCAGAGAAUAGAGAAAGGAGGCUGUGAAUUCCUUAUUACCUUGGCAGCCUGGUGAUGUUGCUCCAAGACCUGGUCCACGAUAAACUGGAUAGAAUCUUGCACUACACUGUGGCUCUCCACAAGGAUGGCAGUGAGAUGAGUUAUUUCCAUUUGCUGAACUGGAAAUGCACUGUGGAAAUCCACAAAGAGAAAAAGCAGCAGAGUUUGUCCUUGAAGAUCCAUAUUCUGAGACUGAUCCCCCUCUCUGGAUUCCACCUGAUAACUCACAUCUGGAAGCACCAAAUCUAGAGGACAAGAUAAUACAUGAAUUUCUAAGAUAAGUAAAGCCCUCAAAAUGCCAAGUGACUACAGAACCUGUAUUCUGAACAAAGAAGGAUCUGAGAAUAGAAGAUCUAAAUUCAAACACUCAUUUCCCCUCCUGAACCUGUUUCUCUAUCCACAUGAUGGAAGCAAAUCAUAAUGACGCCCAGGAAGAACAUUAAAAUAGUAACUAGACAGAGUCUCGCUCUGUCACCAGGCUGGAUGGAGUGCAGUGGUGCAAUCUCGGCUCACUGCAACCUCUGCCUCCCGAGACCAAGCAAUUCUUCUGCCUCAGCCUCCGAGUAGCUGGGAUCACAGACACGCGCCACCAUGCCUAGCUAAUUUUUAUAUUUUAGUAGAGACGGGGUUUCACUAUGUUGGACAGGAUGGUCUCAAUCUCUUGACCUCAUGAUCCGCCCGCCUCGGCCUCCCAAAGUGCUGGAAUUACAGGCGUGAGCCACCACGCCCGGCAGUUCUUGCUAUCUUUAGGUUUUAGUUUACAAAUUCUCUUAGGUUGUACUUAAUCCGCUGUUAAAUCUGUGUACUGAAGUUCAUUCAACAUUGGUUAUUAUAUUUCUUAAUUCCAUAAUUUCUGUUUAAAAGUUAUUUAUUAACUUAUUAAAAGUUAAUAUAAGUUCUUAUUAAAAGUUAUUUCACAUUUUACAGUUUCAGUUUCCUAGUAAUAUGUUCAAACUUUGUUUUCAUUUUCAUAAACAUAGUAAGCAUAAUUUUUUUAAAUUUUGCUUGAAACAGGGUCUCAUGUCACCCAGGCUGAAGUGCAGUGGUGCAAUCAUGGCUCACUGAAGUCUUGACCUCCUGUGCUCAAGCAAUCCUCCCACUUCAGCCUCCUGAGCAGCUGGGACCACAGGCAUGCACCACUAUGCCCAGCUAACUUGUAUAGAGAUGGGGGUCUCAUUGUGUUGUCCAAGCUGAUCUGGAACUUGCAGGAUCAAGCGAUCUUCCUGCCUCAGCCUCCUAAAGUGCUGAGAUCACAGGGUGAACCACCAUGCCCAGCUAAGCAUAACUUUUUAAAGUUAAUAUCUGUUAUCACCAGUAUCUGGAGUCCCAGUGGGUGCUUCUGUGACUUUGUUUUUGCCAGCUCUUGUUUAUAUUAUCUUGUCCUCUCUUAUACCUGGUUAUUUGUGACUGUACAUGUUUGUGUGCAUAUGUACCAUGGGACACUGUAUUUGAAAAGUGCUAAAUAAUUGGGAGCAAAGGAUGCAGUUAUUUUCUUCUAGAAAUUUUUGUUUCCUUCUACAAGACAUCUAGGAGAACUAGCAAAUAUAAAAUCAUCCUAAUCCAAUUCCAAAGUUUAAGAAUUUUUGGCCUGCCUAGAUGACCCAAAAGCAUAUACAUAUACCAUGUGAAGAGUGAUUUAGUGCAGGUUCACCUUACUCCUUAAAAUAUAGCCUUCUAGUUAUCUCUUGCCCAAAGCAAGAGGUGUUUUUAGCAGCACUCCCAAGCUCAUCAGGUCCUGGAUUCUUUGGCCUUCUUGUCCUGCAUUAAUUUGGAAGUAUUUUUUUAAACAGAUUAAUUUUUAUUGUAUUUAUUUAUUUUGAGACCGAGUCUCAUUAUGUUGCCAGGCUGGAGUGCUAUGGCGACACCUCGGCUCACUGCAACCUCCACCUCCCUGGUUCAAGCAAUUCUCCUGCCUCAGCCUCUGGAGUAGCUGGGACUACAGGCAUGCGCCACCACGUCCAGCUAAUUUUUUUGUAGUUUUAGUAGAGACGGGGUUUUUACCAUGUUGAUCAGGCUGGUCUUGAACUCCUGACUCAUGAUCCGCCUGCCUCGGCUUUCUGCGCCCAGCCAAUUUGGAAGUAUUAAUAUAUCUUUGCCUCUCAGCUGCCUGCUCUAAUUGGCAAACUACUCCAGGGCAAAAGUAUCCCCCAAUACUAGGCUCAGCUCUCUGUAAUUCAAACCUCUCCUAAAUCAUGGCACAGAAACUCCUCCUCUUCACUAGGUCUUUGAUGCUUUUAUGAUGUUUUAAUAUUUCAUCCAGCCUUUGCCUUCAGUGAAGAGGCUGGUCUAAAUUAUGAAGUCUGCCACUUGAAGAAAGUGAAAUCUCACCAGAAUUUUCAUAGUUCUUUCUCUUUUUUAAAACAUUACCUCCUUAGAGUCUUCACUGACCAUAUUUAAAAUAACAUCUCCAUCAUUCUCUAUCACCUUGUUUUAUUUCUCUCCACGGUACUUAUCACUACCUAAUAUCUAUCUGUUAAAUUUUCCCCAAGAGGACCAAAAUAUUGUCUGUCUUAUUCCUUCUAGAUGAUGGAAUGAGGAGGAAGAAGAAACUUAUUUACUUUAUAUUUUUCUGUGCUAUCUAAAGAAAAAGCAUAUUUUAAAAUAGGAAAUGUCCGUGCAUAGUCUUCAUCACUAUCCUGCUCCCUCUUCUUCCCUAAAAGAUACUAUGGUAUCUUUUGAUAUCUGAUAUGCAACACCAAAUAGCUGACAUCUAUCAUACCAUGCCUCUCCUGUUCUCAUUGGGUUUUUUUGUUUUUGAGACAGAGUCUCGGGCUGGGCAUAGUGGCUGACACCUGUAAUCCCAGCACUUUGGGAGGCUGAGGCGGGUGGAUCACGAGGUCAAGAGAUCGAGACCAUCCUGGUCAACAAGAUGAAACACCAUCUCUACUAAAAAUACAAAAAUUAGCUGCGCAUGGUGGCGCAUGCCUGUGAUCCCAGCUACUUGGAAGGCUGAGGCAGGAGAAUUGCCUGAACCCAGGAGGAGGAGGUUGCGGUGAGCCGAGAUCGCGCCAUUGCACUCCAGCCUGGGUAACAAGAGCGAGACUCCAUCUCAAACAAACCAAAAAAAAAAGAGAGACAGAGUCUCACUCUGUCACUCAGGCUGGAGUGCAGUGGUGUGUUACCAGUUCACUGCAACCUCUGUCUCCCAGGUUCAAGCAAUUCUCCUGCUUCAGCCUCCCAAGUAGCUGGGACUACAGGCAUGCACCACCACACCCAGCUAAUUUUUGUAUUUUUAGCAGAGACGAGGUUUUGCCAUGUUAACCAGACUAGUCUCAAACUCCUGACCUCAAGUGAUCUGCCGGCUUCAGCUUCCCCAAGGGCUGGGAUUACAGGCAUGAGCCACUGCACCUGGCCUGUUCUCAUUGUUUAUACUCUUCUCUAACUUCAUUUACUUCUACAGCUUCAAUCAUGUCACAAUAACAAUUAAUAAUAUUUAUUGACUACUUUACGUUAGGAGCUUCACAUGGAUUAUUAUAGUUAAUUUUAAAACACAAGCAAACCCCAAAAGAACAGAAAAGCAACUUUUGCAAGGAAAAAUACAUCUAUGAGAUAAGUGUCAUCCUCAUUUUCAAACAGGAAUUAAAGGCUUAGGCCAGGCUGGGCACAGUGGCUCACGCCUGUAAUCCCAGCACUUUGGGAGGCCGAGGCGGGUGGAUCACGAAGUCAAGAGAUCGAGACCAUCCUGGUCAACAUGGUGAAACCUGUCUCUACUAAAAAAUACAAAAAAUUAGCUGGGCAUGGUGGCGUGUGCCUGUAAUCCCAGCUACUCAGGAGGCUAAGGCAGGAGAAGUGCCUGAACCAAGGAGGCGGAGGUUGCAGUGAGACGAGAUUGCGCCAUUGCAUUCCAGCCUGGGUAACAAGAGCAAAACUCCGUCUCAAAAAAAAAGGCUUAGGCUGGUUAAGUAAGUUGCCUGUAGUCACACAGCUAAUUAGUAAUGAAUCCAACAUUUACACUCCUGUGCCAUGCUCUAAACAUAGAACUAUAUGACUCUUACGUAUGGAAGAAACUAAGACUCUAAAAUUCUGUAUCUCUAAAUCUGACCAUUUCCAAGUUCCAGACCAAAUUUCUAUAUAGCUGCUUACUAUGUUUGAAGGAUGUCUUGAAGCACCAUAAACUCAACAUGUUUAAUGUCAAACUCAUCUUCUUUAUCCCCCAAAUCUGCUAUUAAUGUUUUGUAUCUUGCUGACAGUAUCGUUAUUCUGUCAGUAUCCAUGGAAAUCUUUUUUAAUAACUCUAUUGAGAUGUAAUUCACAUCGCAUACAAUUCACUCAUUUUUUUUUUUUGAGACGGAGUUUCGCUGUUGUUACCCAGACUGGAGUGCAAUGGCACGAUCUCGGUUCACCGCAACCUCCGCCUCCUGGGUUCAAGCAAUUCUCCUGCCUCAGCCGCCUGAGUAGCUGGGACUACAGGCACGCACCACCAUGCCCAGCUAAUUUUUUUGUAUUUUUAGUAGAGACGGGGUUUCACAUUGUUGACCAGGAUGGUCUGGAUCUCUUGACCUCAUGAUCCACCUGCCUCGGCUUCCCAAAGUGCUGGGAUUACAGGUGUGAGCCACCGCGCCCGGCCAAUUCACUCAUUUUAAACGUAUAAUAUAAUGGGUUUUAGUAUAUUUAAAGGGUUGUGCAAUCACCACCACCAUCAAUUUUAGAACAUUUUCAUUACUCUGAAAAGAAGCCCCUCUAGGGAGAGCACAAUGUCUCAUGCCUGUAAUCCCAGCACUUUGGGAGCCUGAGGCUGGUGGAUCACAUGAGUCCAGGAGUUUGAGACCAGCCUGGGCAACACAGUGAAACUCUGUCUCUACCAAAAAUACAAAAAUUAGCUGGGCGUGGUGGCAUGCGCCUGUGGUCUCUCAGGAGGCUGAGAUGGAAGGAUGGUUUGAGUCCAGGAAGCAGAGGUUGCAGUGAGCCAAGAUCAUGUCACUGUACUCCACCUGGGCAAUAGACCUAGACUCUGUCAAAAAAAAAAAAAAAAAGAGCCCCUCCAUUUACAUUCUGUCCUCUGUAUUUGCCUAUUCUAGACCUAGAAAUCUGACACGAACCUUAGAUGUUCCCUGUCCCUAAUCUCUCCCUACCUUGAGAAUUAACUGGUUACAUUUUGUUCAUUACUUCAGGUGAUAACUCUGGCCUUUCCAUGUCGACCACACUUUAGAUUCAAGCACUCAUUAUUAUUUUUUUUUCUUUUCUUUCUUUUUUCCUUUUUUUUUUGAGACAGAGUCUUGCUCUGUUGCCCAGGCUGGAAUGCAGUGUCAUGUUCUUGGCUCACUGCACUCUCCACCUCCAGGUUCAAGUGAUUCUCCUGCCUCAGCCUCCCAAGUAGAUGGGACUACAGGUGCCCACCACUACGCCCAGCUCAUUUUUGUAUUUUUAGUAGAGACAGUGUUUCACCAUAUUUGCCAGGCUGGUCUCGAACCCCUGACCUCAAGUGAUCCUUCCACUUCGGCCUCCCGAAGUGCUGGGAUUGCAGGUGUGAGCCACUGCACCCAUCCAUCGGGCACUCAUUUUUUAACCCAGUUCACUUACUUAUUUACUUAGUAUUACUAACUGGUCUCCCUUCCAUACUAUAUAAUGCUGCUAAAGACUCCUCCCAAAACAUUCAAUGGUUUCUUACUAUACAGAGAAUAAACUUCACAAUCCGUAGUAUGGCACUCAAGAUCUACCAUAUUCAACUCCAGACUACUUUUCAAGCCUUAUAUCUCCCUCAUGUGCCAUUCAUUUCAUGCUUCAGUUAUAUUGAAUUAUAAGAAAAAUGUAUGACAUGUGUCACAUUUUAUAGUUUUCAGUUCCCUGGCAAAAUGUUCAAGCUUGGCUUUCAUAUUAGAUUAUAUGUUUUUAUACAAAUCAUACAUAUUUGUAGAUGCAGAAUACACAUACUAAACGCUUUUCUAAAACUGGGAUAUAAAAACCCAUUUCAAAGAUAAUUGGGUGGAAUUUUUCAUCAAAAGGAUAUGGA